AUAGGGACCGUGCGCGUUGGAGGGUCUGCCAUCUUGUGGCCUGAAUCGGAACCAUAAACAUCUUCACACCAAAGCGAGUGCUGCCAUCUACCGUUCUCGUACGUUUUCUUGUGCAUAGUAGGUUCUGCCAUCUUGUGGGCUACAUUGGAAGCAUAAACUUCACAUGUACGCCUUGCGCCAAAAAUCUGUCUCCUGUGCUGCGGCCUACAGUUUAUGCACGCUCCCUAUAAUAAGACCUUAAUAUCGCCACCACAUCGCCUCUCAUCAUUAUCUGAAGGUUAUAAUGUUAACUAAUCGCCCUAGAUGGCACUGCAUGCUCUUAAUAAUUAUUAUCUGUGUUAAUAUAUUAGGUAUAUAUUUAUAGAUAUGAUAAGGACAAAUAAUAUUUAGUGUUGAGCUGAUGAAAGAUCCUUGGAUAGUAAUGUAAACAAAACAGGUGAGUAUAUCUCAGUUCACAUGGAAAGUUUAUAAUUUCCAGGGUGUCCAGUGGCAGAUAUCUUAUUUCAAAAUUUGAUUUCAAGUUAACUAAAACAUCUAAAUUACAACUAUUUAUUUUUAUGAAAAGAAGAUAAAUGCGGAUUUCAUUUCAAACCUUCGCUGGACACCUUGUAGCCUGAUAGUUAUUAUAUAGUAUAUAAAGUUUGUAUUCGUGCUGUACAAUCCAAGGAUUUUUAUUUUGCUAAAAGCUAAGUACUUACCUAAGAUACUUCAAGUACUUAAGCACAGUUAGCUUUAAAAAUGUCUACCUAUGCUAGAUACUAGCAGACUUACAGUCGGACCAAGCUAACUCUGCAUGCCAUAUGCAAUGACAAUGUAUGGCAAUGUCAUCAUUAAUUAUUAUAAUGCCACUCCUCACUUUGUUCCAUUCAAGUCCGUGCAAAGUUCUUUGACGGACCACAAAAAUGUUAGCCAAACUCGAGAUUGAUAUUUUUGGAGCCGACUGUACUUGUAAAAUAAAUGUGUCUUUCCAUCAGAGAAGGAUCCUUAUGCUUCAUGUGCAAUAAGGACGUUUUUAUCAUGAUGUUUGUUGGAAUUUCUGAUGGAAAGGUCCUUAAUUAUUGCACAUGAAGCAUAUUAAGUGCGUGUGUGUGUUAAGUGUGAUGGAAAGCCACAAAUGUAUUUUGAUGUCAUUGUCUAAGGGUGGUAUUCCAUCCGUCUAAUAUCUUUGUCCAAUAUCAUUGCAUCUCACUCUCUCAUGGAGCAAAAUGUGCGACAAAAUACACAUUGGACAAAGAAAUUAGACAGGUGUAAUAUCACCCUAAGGCAGAGUAUUGGAGUAAGUUGUAUUGUAACUGAUUUAGACAUCUGGGAGCCAACCGCGAACCACGUUCGAUAGUUUGCCUCCCUGUCACACUUACGUACGAAUUUACAAGUGCAACAGAGAGGCAACACUUCGAACGUGGUUCGCGGUAGGCCCUCUCUGGCUGUUACUCCCAGG